CUGGCAGCUUGGAGACUGAAUCCCUCUAUUUAUCCACAGUUCAAGCAUAGCAUGGGCACCAACAGUGCAAAUCUCUCUCUAUUGCCCCACAGAUUGUGUGUCAGCCCAUUUCUAAAAGCUUUUUGAACAAGAGGGUAGUGAAAUCUCCAUGCCUAUCUGCUUCUUGGAAUCU
rnacentral:sRNA from 1 species